AUCCAGCUAGUGAUGAGUCCAAAAAUAGGACGAAACGCGCGUCAAGCUGGAU
rfam:Schistosoma mansoni strain Puerto Rico chromosome 6, complete genome